UACGUAGGGUGCAAGCGUUGUCCGGAAUUAUUGGGCGUAAAGAGCUCGUAGGCGGUUCGUCACGUCGGCUGUGAAAACCUGAGGCUCAACCUCAGGCCUGCAGUCGAUACGGGCGGACUCGAGUUCGGCAGGGGAGACUGGAAUUCCUGGUGUAGCGGUGAAAUGCGCAGAUAUCAGGAGGAACACCGGUGGCGAAGGCGGGUCUCUGGGACGGUACUGACGCUGAGACGCGAAAGCCAGGGGAGCAAACGGG
rnacentral:rRNA from 1 species